rnacentral:rRNA from 1 species
AUUGAACGCUGGCGGCAGGCUUAACACAUGCAAGUCGAGCGAGCGGCGGACGGGUGAGUAAUGUCUGGGAAACUGCCUGAUGGAGGGGGAUAACUACUGGAAACGGUAGCUAAUACCGCAUACCAUCAGAUGUGCCCAGAUGGGAUUAGCUAGUAGGUGGGGUAAGGGCUCACCUAGGCGACGAUCCCUAGCUGGUCUGAGAGGAUGACCAGCCACGCUGGAACGGAAACAGGUUCCAGAUGCCUACGGGAGGCAGCAGGGGGGAAAUUUGCACAAUGGGGGAAAGCCUGAGGCGGCCAUGCCGCGUGUGUGAAGAGGGCCUUCGGGUUGUAAAGCACUUUCAGCGAGGAGGCGUUACUCGCAGAAGAAGCACCGGCUAACUCCGGGCCAGCCGCCGGGUAAUAC